rnacentral:miRNA from 1 species
CUCCGUUUGCCUGUUUCGCUG